AAGACCAAGAACAAGAUCCAAUCUUCAAAGUUGCAUCCAAACACAACCCAAGAGUCACAAAAGCAUCCAAACACAAUCCAUAUGUCCAUGGUAUCAGACUACUAUAUUAAGGCAGCAAGCAAGUAGUAUAUGAUGGAUGGCAAUGUAAAAUUAAAUGCGCUGCUUAAGGAGAUAAGUAGCAACUCAUCCAUGCACGGAAACGAGACCAUGCGAGCCCAACUGCAUCUUCAUCUUCAUCUGGCAUUCCCAUACCCUUCCUCCGCUGUAUACCUUCAGGAGACCUGUUCAUGAAAGCAUGAC
rnacentral:lncRNA from 1 species